GAUGAACGCUAGCUACAGGCUUAAUACAUGCAAGUCGAGGGGACACGCCAUCGAAAGCUUGCUUUUGAUGGGCGUCGACCCGCGCGAGGGAGACUAACGCGUAUCCAAUCUGCCCAUCACUUGGGGAUAACCUUGCGAAAGUAAGACUAAUACACAAUGAUAUCCCCAGAAGACAUCAGAAAGAGACUAAAGAUUUAUCGGUUAUGGAUGGGGAUGCGUCUGAUUAGCUUGUUGGCGAGGUAACGGCCUACCAAGGCAACGAUCAGUAGGCGUCCUGAGAGGAAGGUCCCCCAGAAUGGAAAUAAGACACAGACCAAACUCCUACGGGAGGCAGCAGUGACGAAUAUAAGGCAAGAGACGCUAGCCUGAACCAGCCAAGUAGCGGACAAGAAUACGGCGAUAGGGGUUGUAAGCUGUUUUUAUAAGAGAAUAAAGUGAGAGUCGGUACUCUUCUUGUAGGUACCUUAUGAAAAAGGACCGGCUAAUUCCGUG
rnacentral:rRNA from 1 species